rnacentral:lncRNA from 1 species
GCGGACGUCCGCACUUCGCUAAAGUGCGGACGUCGACGCAGCAGGAGGGUUCCAGGCGACGAUGGCGGUGCGGGGCUGGCCGGAGGGGUCCCAGACCUCUUGUGGGCGGCGUUCGAGGUCGGAAUUCACCUGCAGUUGCCACCUCACCUGCAGUUGCAGGUUCUGUGCAGCACCGCAGAACCGUCGCCGGCGACUCCACCACACCUCAUACCCCUCCGCACGACCCCCGGCGUCCCUCCGGCAAGCCGCGCCGCGCCGUCGCCACUCAAUAGAGGCCGGAGGAGCGACGUCCG